AUCCUUCAUAAUGUUUACCUAUAUUAUAUGCACGAUUGUGAAAGUUGUUGGAUACGUUCCUCAUUUAACGACUGCUGUAUACUUACUGGCGAUGCUUAGUCUAAAAAGAUAAAGGACAGUUAGGUCUGCAAUAUUUUUGGAGCUAUGUGAAGCAGGAAUUACAACGAAAGAGGAAAUACAGACAACACAAAAGAGGAUAACGACGUCAAAAAUAGCCAGACAAAUAAGAGGGCCAUCAAAAUGUCCACAGUUCUGCUAAAGGAAGUUUCGGUGAAACUACCAGAGGAAAAGGAUUGCAAAGUCACAGGGUUGUCAGCGUUCACAAACGAGAUUAGUACCCUUGUGGCAGAUGUGGAAAACAACAUGUUGAAGCUGUUUGACAAUAAAUAUGAGUUUAAAUGGAAAGUUCAUGUGUCUCGAGAUUGCAUGGGAGUCACAGUGGUGUCUGAGAAAUCUUUCGCCACCAUAGCGAGAAAAAAACUCCAGUAUUGGGGCAUAGAAACCAACGAAGAUGGAACCAUUGUUCCGAAGAUAGAGGAAGAAGUACAAUUAAAACACACGGGUUUUGCAGUUCACUCAAAUGGCAAAUACAUCGGGGUUCUCAUGAGUUCCGAUCAUCAAGUUCAGAUUUUCCACCUUUCGUGUGACAAGAUGCAAGCGAUUGACUUGAAAACUAUCGCAAACAGAACCAUAACUCCUGGCUUUACGCUGCUAUUAGACUCGGAUCUUGACCGUUUCUACAUCUCAGACAGAGACUAUGAUAAAGGAACCAAACUUCUGAGCGUGUCUUUUACGGGUGAGGUGAUUUGGGAGUGUCCCGUGCCUGCGUCCGUCGGGGGAAUUGCUGAAUGUGACAAUCUGCUGUUUGUAGUUAGCAUCGGAUAUGCCAAGAUACACAUUAUUACAAAAGAUGGGAUGGACAUUGGAAAUUUGGUAACUGACGAAGGACAACUUCCUUUCCAUAUCUGUACUCAACCACUUGAAAAAACAUUGUUUGUGUCUUAUAACUUUACUGGAAGUGACAGAAAUAUUAUAAGAGUGUACAAUUUAGAGGAAAGUCUCUACCUGCAUAAAAAAUAUGAAGAGCUCAGUGGGAUGAUGGAACAAGGGGCCAUUCUUUAAUGGUGGGUGUGUGCUUCAAUCUCAAAAUAUGUUUAUAUAUACUCAGUGUUAAUCAAAAUAGAAAAUCAAGUGGAUGUC
rnacentral:sRNA from 1 species